rnacentral:lncRNA from 1 species
UGAAAUCAAAAGAUAAAAAGAAUUCAUUGUUCAAGAACUUUCUUCUUGAUGCAGUAAAAAGGUGACAUUAAUAUCCAUUGCUUUCACGAACUCUCUUCAUGCACUGAUGUAGACUCACUUCAUUUUCUCAAAAAAAAACUCCAUCUACAUACUACAAAACAUCCCUCAAAUUAUGUAUUCAUCUCUUCUUCAUAUCAUGAAGAACAACCAACAUAAACUCUUAGAUCACCAUCUUCUUCUUAAAAAAAAC